GCGGGUGUAGCUCAAUGGUAGAGCACUGGCUUCCCAAGCCAGCUACGUGGGUUCGAUUCCCAUCACCCGCUCCA
rnacentral:tRNA from 2 species